CUUCCGGCUUCCGGCUUCCGGCUUCCUGGGACGGGCCCGCUAAAUCAGAGUGCGAGGGUGCAGGUUAAGCUCAGGGAACAGACUUGAGUCAGUCACAGUGACAGAGAGGAAGAGCGCGAGGCCAGAAUGCUCCAGGCGGGGAACGUGCUCCGAGAGCCUGCGCCGGCUCUGACGUCAUAGGCGUGCGUCGGAGCAGAAAUCUGAGCAAGAGUGGGUAUCCGUGUACGUAUGACUGACUCACCUUGCUGUGCAGCAAGGAACCAACAACACGGUAAAGUGACUCUACGCCAAUAAAAAUCAAUUUUAAAAGAAAGAAUAAAAUAAGACAGAAGUGUGGGGUAUUGCUUCUGAGAUUUUGUUUAAGAAGACUACAUUGCAAGGACUUCCCUGGUGAUCCAGGGGUUAGGACCCAGCACUUCCACUGCCCAGGGCCCGGGUUGGAUCCCGGGUGGGGGAACUAAGAUCAUCCCACAAGCCGCGUGGUGAGGCCCCCGAAAAAAACAGAAAGUAAAAAACGACUGCUAGCUUGCAUACCUUGCUCUCUUGCUCCCUCUGAGGGAAGCCAGCUCUCAUCUUGACAGCUACCUUACAGAGAAGCCCACAUGGCGAGGAACAUCAGCCUCUGGCCAAUAACUAACCUUGAGGAAGUGAAGCACUCAGUUCAACAGCCUGAGGAGCUGAAUCCUGUCAACAGACAUGGCGGGGUGAGCUCGAAAGCAGAUCCACCCCACUCAGGUCUUCAGGUGACACUUUGGCCCAGGCAACACCUUAAGGGCCACUCUGCUAGAGUCCUUGAGGCAGAGCACCCCAGGUAAAGGUUGCCUGAUUCCUGACCCUCUGAAAAUGAGAUAACACGUUUGUUGUUUUCGGCCACUACGUUUUGGCAUCAUUUGUUCUGCAGCAGCGGGAAACUAAUACACUCUCUUACAGUCGCCAAGGUGUGGAAGCAGCCUAAGUGCCCAUCAGCAGAUGAGUGGAUAAAGAAGACGUGGAAUAUAUGUACACAAUGGAAUAGUACUCAGCCGUUAAAAAGAAUGAAAUUUUAGCGUUGUCAACUACAUGGUUGGACUUGGGGGUAUUAUGCUAAGUGAAGCGAGACAGAGAAAGACAAAUAUUCUGAUGUUUUCACUUGCGUGUGGAAUCUAAAAUAUGAAACAGGGCUUCCCUGGUGGCGCAGUGGUUGAGAGUCUGCCUGCCGAUGCAGGGGACAUGGGUUCGUGCCCCAGUUCAGGAAGAUCCCACAUGCCGCGGAGUGGCUGGGCCCGUGAGCCAUGGCCGCUGAGCCUGUGCGUCCGGAGCUUGUGCUCCGCAACGGGAGAGGCCACAACAGUGGGGGCUCACAUACUAUAAAUAAAAUAAAAUAAAAUA